rnacentral:lncRNA from 1 species
GGCCUGUCCGUGGACUACCCCUGCCGGCCGCAGCGGGCAGCGCAGCCAGCCGGUGGGGCCGCGGAGCGUGAAGUGCUUUGAAACACUCCCGCCUCCAGGCCCAGAGACCCGGAGAACAGACACCUGGCAAAAGGUUGCUGGUUCCAUGUUUAUUAAGGUACCAGCAGAUUUUUUUAAAAAAAGAAAAACUGCUAAAACGUAAUUAAUUCCAAAAUAUGAGCAUCUAUACGUUGCAAUUUGAAUAUAAUAGCAAAAGUCUACCUUUGAGCCCUUUGCAGGUAAGGCUCAGGCCAAAUAAGCUUCCCUGCUGCCCUAGGUCCUGCAGUCUGAGAGGGUUAGAGAAAGGUGAGAUGAGAGGCGGGAUUAGUGAGCUAGAGGCGCAAGAGGGAGGAGAUAAGCUGAGACACCUCCCAUGAUGCCCCCUAGCCUGCUUGUCCCGGCCUGGGCCUGUCUCUAGUUGUUUCUGGGGACCAGACCUGCUUCUAGCAAGACUGAAAACGCAGCCUGGGCUCAUCAUGCUCCUUUCAGGCCCCCAGCCCUCCCCAGGACUGGGUCUGAUCCCUCCUCCUAGGACCCACACUGACAGCCCCGGGGCAGACUGCCAGCUGCCCCCUCCCAUCAGCAUGCACCCUGGGAGGGGACUCAGUGGGGAGACCCACAGCAGGAGCAUUUAAACCCCACGUGCUGAAAGUGGGCUUCCCAGCAGCCAGAGCCACCCUCACUGCAAGGUGGUGGGAGGUCUGCAAUAAAUGGAUGCCACGCAGGGACCUGAGAGAGCAUCUGGCCCAACACUCAGUUUCCCAUCUGGAGGGUAAGGGUGCGAUCAUGCUCCUCAUCCUGCUUUUUUCUCGUGUCUGUUCUUAGGAUAAAAUGAACGAGAGAGACAUGGAUUUGUCAACUAAGUACUGUGCCUGUGGGCAUCUGUGAUGGACAGAGUCUGGACUGUCUUUCUCACAGUUUGGGAUUCAGAGAGCUGCGGUCUCAGUUAGAGGCCUGAGGGGUCAGAGAAAGGGGUGGGGCUGAGCCUUGGAGGCAGGUGGGCAGGAGUAGGGACCAGCUCUGGACUGACCUGCCCCAGAUCCUGAAUGGGCUCAUGGGAACAGGUCAGGCAGCAAAAUGCCAGCCAAGCAAAUUCAUGAGGUCAGAGCAGUGCCCUAGCUUCAUAAGAAUGCUAGCUUGGCCUCUGGAAGUUUGGCUAGCUUGGCUUCUGGAAGUUCAUAGCCCCCUUCUCCGAUUCCUGGCCUAGGAGGGGCCUAGGCACCCAGUGAAGCCCAGGUGGGAUGCAUUCCAGGUCCCAGCCCAGAAUGGGGCCUCACUCUGCCCUGGGGAGCAGCCCCUCCUUUCUUAUGAUUGUGCCCUGAGGUGAGCAGGCCUGAGUGGGGAGCCCACUUGAGCCCUCAGCACAUGUCCCAGACCUUCCUCUACCAGUGCAUCCUGUGGAUUUGAGAGUGGAGGAAUCACGCCAUGUGCCUUGUCAUGAAGCUUCCUUAAGGCCCCAGGCUUCCCUGCGGCCAGUUCCAGGCCCUGAGCUCACAGGACCUUCAGCCACAGCAGGUAGCUCAGCGUACCCUGUUGUUUCUCAAGCCUGCUCCUGGGGGGACUCAGUUUAUGCCCCAUCCUGAUGAAGCAUGAGCAUCCCCACCCCAGGGGAGUGCUGCCUUCAUUCACUUGACCACUUCAGUUCUCAGAACCCUUUCCCAGCUGUGAACUCUGCCUGAGAGACAGCUCUGUUUUGCAGAUGGGGAAGCCAGGCCCCAGGGGCUGGGGAGUGAAUUGCCCAAGGGCAGGCUGUUGGAACUGGGACCAGUCUGUCUGACUUCACAAUCAGGGUUAUUGCAUGUCAAACCCUUCUCACUCUCACCACGAAGCUGGUCCUUGGGACAGGGUGGGGAGGCAAGAGAGAUAAGCCUGGGCAGACAACACAGUAAGAUAGAAACGGUGGAGUUGGCCAGGGGGCUAUGGAGCUCAGGGACUAGGGAGAUGGUCUGACAUUGUUGGAUAGCACUGGGGAGCCAUGAAUAGUGCAAAGACUCCAUGCUGAGGACUCUGGACUGGGAACCAGCUUCUUUCAUUCAUGUUACUCCUUCCACUCUCUUUGGAAAAUCAAACGUCAUCACUACCUCCUAAGCCAGAGAAAAGCCUACCUUCCCCAAAGGCUUAGCUAUGAUGUCAUCCCUUCCUGUUCUGUUCUCAGUGGUAUCAGGAAGAAGGAUAGUCUAUAGGCUAAGCCAUGAGCUGAACACAUGCCCAGCCCUUGAGGGCUCCGGGCCCAGGUGACAUCAGGCAGGUGUUAGCACUCACCUGGCUCUGAGGCUAUUUAUAGACUGUGUUAUCCUCAGAAACAGCAGUGUUUCUCUCCACUCAGCUCACAUGGUUUUUUAUCCAGGGUGCUGAUGGGUUUUGUCACCUAGGGAUCCUGUAACACCACCUCUAGGCCUCACAAAGCCAAAGAACAAUCAGUUUGUGCUAAGCUCAGAAUCUCAUUCAGGGGUUGCAAACUCAGAUGCCUGCGGGGGCCAGGCAGGUGAUACACAUGAGUGGUGCAAGCUGGUAAGUAUGUAGGGAGUGAGGGGAGGUGGCACUGUAUCCAGAUAGCUAAUGGAUGUCCCAGGUAAAGAGGUAGCUGCUGCCCAGGCCAGCCAAUUAUUGUAUAUGGGACUAUGGGUCCACACAGGCCACCCAGGUUUUCUCAUCUUUCAAUAAAAGCUGAAGACUUUAAGUUUUAUAGAAAUCUAGUUUUCAAAUUUUUGAAAUGAAUUUCAAAAUAAAAUUAAACACCGAAUGAACUGUAAACACCGUAUCCAAACUAGAUGAGGACUCUGGGCUGAUAGUUUGUAAGCUCUGAUUUCCACUGUACAGGUGAGAGGACUGAAGCUCAGAGAAGGAUGGGGAGUGGCCCGAGGCCAUACAGCUGGGCAGUACCAGGACUGUGGUCAGACCCUCUCUUCACUCUCCCCAGGGCCCUUUCUGCAAAGUUCACUCAGCAGACAUGUUUUCAGAGCACCUACUGUGUUCUGAGCCCUGAGCUUCACCCUGGGGAUUCAGAAGGACAAAGACAGGGACAGGAGGUUAUGGUGUCCUGAGAUGCUGGAACUGCUGAACAAACCUCUCCCAGGUAGCCCUGUGUGUGGCAGGAGUGAACGCUGUGGUUGUCGUGGGGUACAAAGUUACAGUUGUUCUGGAGAGACCCUCCAGGAGGGGCUGGGGGUGAAGGUAGCCCCGGUGUGGGCAUGAGGUGGGGUUUCUAUAAUAUUAAAUAUCAUGAAGGCUGAGAUCAUUACCAGUGCCAGUCACUGGGUCAUACAACCUGUGCUGCCAGCCUAGACAAUGGUCCUUAGGUAGGAUGAGGCCAUGGACUUCAUCUGUCUGGUUAUGCUUGAGGGGUUUGGGGUCCAGGAUAGCAUCUGUCAUGGGAAGGGAAACUGAGAGAGAGGUUCCCCGCGACUCAGAAAGCCACCAGACCCUUCUACUGGGUUGCUGUGGGACUCUCUGGGGAUGGAGUGUCCCCCGUGGCCUUUGCAAAGUCAGUACAUUCAUCAUCCUCUCUCUGCUGGCUUCUAAGAACCAGACCAUGAUGGGGAGGCAGAGGCAGAGAAGGGAGGUUCCACUAAGGCCCAGGGAGGUGGUGGGCACAGUGAUCAGAGAGAGACCCACAAGGGGAAGAUGGGGCGAAGCUCUCCUCUGGAGUCCAGCUGGUCUUUUACUCGUGUGAUCUGGAUCACUGCGGGCCACUGAGAGCGGAGCCAGUGUGGUAGGGUGGAGCUCAGUAGGGUGUGGCUCACCCUCAGCUGCUGGGCUCUCACACAACCUGCCUGGCCACAGCCCCCUGCAACUCACAACUCAGCAGAGCUUGCCUUCUGGGAGUAUCUGCAAGAUAAUCCAUGUUUGUUGUUUGAAGCCACUAAGUGUUGGGUCAUUUGCCAUGUGCAGUGGAUAACUCAUACCCAUAGUACCCCACCCCAGCCAGGACUCCUGGAAGAUCCCAUUGCUCCAUGCACAGCCAGUCCUGGAUCUGCUGUCUCAGCAAGCUUGGUCACCAGCUCUUGGCAAGGACCUCACGGGCAUGGUCAGGGAGAACUGGUCCAAGAGACAGGACUUCCUUGUCUUUGUAAAGACGUGGAAUGGGCUGGUUAUUUCUGUCUCAUGCCUCUGAGGGAGACUGAUUGAAGCUUGGGAGAGUGGAGGAGCUGGGAGAGAGUCCUCAGCGGGAGGGCCUGAGGGUCUGGCCAUGGCAUCCUGUUGGCCUCUGGGAAGGGGACGGGGCCUCACUUAAUACCUCCGUGCUGGGCUCCGCACUUUGUAGAUGUCAUUCUGAGCCUCAGGGUGACCCUGCAAAGUGGAGCUUGUUGUCCCUGUCUUACAAAUAAAGGAAUGGAGGCCAAGAGAGAUUAAUGAUGUGCCCAAGGUCACACUAGGGCCAAGUGGAGAGUGGAAUUCUUCCUGACUCACCUGGCUCUGUGUCUCCAGGGGCAGGUGGGCUCUGAGUGGUGCCUCUGAGCUGGCUUGUGCCAGACAUCAUCCCCUCCACGCAGCCGUUUUCUUCCAGCUAGCCUGACACUGUGCUUAGUGAUUGAGAUCUAUGAUCCUAUGUAGUCCUCAUGAUAACUCUGCAAGGGAGGGUCUGUUGUCCCCACCUGAUGGACACCAGAUGGCUGAGCUGGAUUUCAACCCAGGCCUGGCUGAAUCCAUAUCUGCACUCUCUCCCACUGACUGGGUCUUCUCACCCUAGAGAAUCUACCAUUGGCUCAGCCCUGCAGGGCGACACCCAACAGUACAGCUGGGUAACAUAGAAACACACACUGACUUCAUUUACACAGUCCCUGCCCAGAGUCAAUAGAAAAGUACCUGGUCAGCAGGACCCGCAAGGUUGCCAAGUCCAGUCCAGAUUCGUCCUUGGUGCAUGCCCCAUUGCCACCUUUAUUUACUGUUUACUGAUUUGCAGUGGCUUUUCUCAAUGCAUCAUUAUCCUCAGGAGAGGAUCCCACUGCCAGUUGUCUAGGAGUGGGGCCCAAGACUUUGCCAAGCCUAAAAUGCUGCUCAGUCAGACUUCACCUGAGCUCUGGGCUCUCUGCCUUGUGGGUGCAAGGAAGCAAGCAGCCUCCAAUUCUGCAGUUUCCCUUUUUGGUCUGUUGUUUUGGUCUGUGCAAUUUUCAUGAAUCUACUGACUUGACCCUCUUAACCUCCACUGACUAACUCACAUUGAUACCUUUCCUUGCUCCAUUAGAAUAAAUCUCCUUCUGGUCAACAAUGCUUACCUUGUGAUCCAUAUUGUCCACCUUCUGAUCAGUAUGGUCCACCCUUGAUGACAAGUAUUUGUCUUUUCUUCAAAUGAAGAU